GGGUCGAUGAAGAACGCAGCCAGCUGCGUGAAUUAAUGUGAAUUGCAGGACACAUUGAACAUCGAUAUCUUGAACGCAUAUUGCGGCCUCGGGCAUUCCCGAGGCCACGCCUGUCUCAGGGUCGGUUGAAAGUCGAUCGCGAAGCGCCACCCGCCCUCGUAGACCGCGAGGGAUCGGCGGGCCUAGCGCAUUGGGCGUCGGAGACGAAACGACCCGCUCGUGCGAGUCCGUCUCCGUCGCCUGAAGACCAGAUCCGUUCGUUGCUCGUCGUCGCGACUCUGUUCGCCGACGCCCGGACGACAAAUCUACUCGAUAUUCGUUGAGCACGGUAUGUCGUCUCGGGCCGUCGGCGGCUCGUCGCAGUCUUACUCGGCGUCUGCAACGCGGCACCAAACUUACACUUUUCGACCUGAGAUCAGACGAGAUUACCCGCUGAAUUUAAGCAUAU
rnacentral:misc_RNA from 1 species